GGGACGCUACUUCAGUGCUGGCAGUAUUAGCAAUUGAGUAAUCCAUUUAACUUAGAAGUAUGGACAGGCGACAAAAAUUGUUGAUUGGAAUGUAUUUAAAUUUAAUACUUGAAGAAUCAAAUGAAGACUCAAGCGAUGAAUCUGAUUCGGAAGAAGUUAUAAAUUUAAUAAAAAAUUAUUUCGAACGUUCCUAAGUACGUUCCAAAAAUUAUUUCGAACGUUCCAACGUACCUAAAGUUGUGUAAUAAUUAUAUCAAAAACAUAGUUUGACAAUGUACAGAUAGUGAUUUUAAAAGUCAUUUUCGUCUUAGUCGAUCAACGUUUAUAUUUUUGUUGGAAUUAUUAAGUUCACAAUUAAUAAAACAAUCCGAAGGACGAGGUAGACAUAUCAUCAAUCCAGAAAAAACAUUAUUGUUAGCAAUAUGGAUGAUGGCAACUUCUAAUUCAUACAGGAGCGUUGCUAAUCGAUUCGAUGUAGGAAAAGCAAUAGCUUGGAGAUGUGUUCAGAAAGUUGUGAAUGCAUUAUAUUCACAUCUUAACACAUUUAUUACAUGGCUAGAUAGUAGAAGACUAUUUUCAGCUCGUGUCCAUAUAUGUCGUAAACAGAAAGAAAUAGAAUAUAAAAUGUUAAACAG